GACGAACGCUGGCGGCGUGCUUAACACAUGCAAGUCGAACGGGAGUAUUGAAGAAGCUUGCUUUAGAGAUACUUUAGUGGCGGACGGGUGAGUAACGCGUGAGGAGCUGUCCGAUGCAGGGGGACAACAGUUGGAAACGACUGCUAAUACCCCAUAAGCCGAGAGGUAAAAGGAUUUAUCCGGCAAUGGAGGUACUCGCGUCCUAUCAGCUAGUAGGUGAGGUAACGGCUCACCUAGGCGAAGACGGGUAGCCGGCCUGAGAGGGCGAACGGCCACACUGGAACUGAGAUACGGUCCAGACUCCUACGGGAGGGCAGCAGUGGGGAAUAUUGGGCAAUGGGGGGAACCCUGACCCAGCGACGCCGCGUGGGUGAAGAAAUCCUUCGGGAUGUAAAGCCCUGUUGUAUGGGAAGAGCGGAAGACGGUACCAUACGAGGAAGCCCCGGCAAACUACGUG
rnacentral:rRNA from 1 species